rnacentral:rRNA from 1 species
UUUCGUAGAGGGGGCCUGCGGAGGGAUCAUUGCUGGAACGCGCCCCAGGCGCACCCAGAAACCCUUUGUGAACUUAUACCUUACUGUUGCCUCGGCGCUAGCUGGUCCUCCGGGGCCCCUCACCCUCGGGUGUUGAGACGGCCCGCCGGCGGCCAACCUAACUCUUGUUUUUACACUGAAACUCUGAGCACAAAACAUAAAUGAAUCAAAACUUUCAACAACGGAUCUCUUGGUUCUGGCAUCGAUGAAGAACGCAGCGAAAUGCGAUAAGUAAUGUGAAUUGCAGAAUUCAGUGAAUCAUCGAAUCUUUGAACGCACAUUGCGCCCUCUGGUAUUCCGGAGGGCAUGCCUGUUCGAGCGUCAUUUCAACCCUCAAGCCUUGCUUGGUGAUGGGGCACUGCUUCUUACCCGAGAAGCAGGCCCUGAAAUUCAGUGGCGAGCCCGCCAGGACCCCGAGCGCAGUAGUUAAACCCUCGCUCUGGAAGGCCCUGGCGGUGCCCUGCCGUUAAACCCCCAACUUCUGAAAAUUUGACCUCGGAUCAGGUAGGAAUACCCGCUGAACUUAAGCAUAUCAAA